rnacentral:rRNA from 1 species
CUGCNGUCGACGAUUCCUACGGGAGGCAGCAGUGAGGAAUAUUGCGCAAUGGGGGAAACCCUGACGCAGCAACGCCGCGUGGGUGAUGAAGGCCUUCGGGUCGUAAAACCCUUUUCUGGGGGAAGAGAAAGGACGGUACCUCAGGAAUAAGUCCCGGCUAACUACGUGCCAGCAGCCGCGGUAAAACGUAGGGGGCGAGCGUUAUCCGGAUUUACUGGGCGUAAAGCGCGUGCAGGCGGCUUGGUAGGUUGGACGUGAAAGCUCUUGGCUCAACUGAGAGAGGUCGUUCAAUACCGCCAAGCUUGAGGGCGGAAGAGGGGAGCGGAAUUCCCGGUGUAGUGGUGGAAUGCGUAGAUAUCGGGAGGAACACCCGUGGCGAAGGCGGCUCCCUGGUCCGCACCUGACGCUGAGACGCGAAAGCGUGGGUAGUAAACAGGAUUAGAUACCCUGGUAGUCCACGCCGUAAACGAUGAGUGCUAGGUGUUAGGGGUUUCGACGCCCUUAGUGCCGCAGUUAACGCAAUAAGCACUCCGCCUGGGGAGUACGGUCGCAAGACUGAAACUCAAAGGAAUUGACGG